rnacentral:tRNA from 1 species
GGGGAUGUAGCUUAGUGGUGGAACCCUUGCCUUGCAUGUAUGAGUCCUGGGUUCAAUCCCUAGUAUCCACC